AUGCUUACUUCGGCAGCACUUAUACUAAAAUUGGAACUAUACAGAGAAGAUUAGCAUGACCCCUGUGCAAGGAUGACAUGCAAAUUUGCAAAGCAUUCCAUAUUUUU
rnacentral:snRNA from 1 species